rnacentral:rRNA from 1 species
UGGUAAAGCGAAUGAUUAGAGGCCUUAGGGUCGAAACGAUCUUAACCUAUUCUCAAACUUUAAAUGGGUAAGAACCUCACCUUUCUUGUUAUGAAGGUUGAGGUUCUGAUAUAAUGUGCCCAGUGGGCCACUUUUGGUAAGCAGAACUGGCGCUGUGGGAUGAACCAAACGUAAUGUUAUGGUGCCCAAAUUAACAACUCAUGCAGAUACCAUGAAAGGCGUUGGUUGCUUAAAACAGCAGGACGGUGGACAUGGAAGUCGUAAUCCGCUAAGGAGUGUGUAACAACUCACCUGCCGAAGCAACUAGCCCUUAAAAUGGAUGGCGCUUAAGUUGUAUACCUAUACAUUACCGCUAAAGUAAAUGAUUUA